ensembl:snRNA U6 U6 spliceosomal RNA
GUGCUCGCUUUGGCAGCACAUAUACUAAAAUUGGAAUGAUACAGAGAAGAUUAGCAUGGCCCCUCCAUAAGGAUGACACACAAAUUCGUGAAGCAUUCUAUAUUUUU